GUGGUCACUAAUGUGGAAGGGAAGGCACAAGGGCUGGUCAGGGAACCGUCCAGAGCUCGGGAGAGACCACGAGGCUGUGACUUGCUGCACCAGAGCCGUCCUUUGGAGACUCCUCUGGCUGUCACAGCUGCAUCGAGCAAGGCUUGGCCUCUGCUCGAGGAGCUCCUCGGGUCAACCCUCGGUCACUUUGUGGCAGCGUGGUUGAGCCUUUUUCGGGGCGCAGGCCUGCGGUGGCUGACCUCCCGUCCCUGCCAGGCUUCCUGCCCAGCACGUCCCCCAAGGUCUCUGUCACAUCUCCUGGGCUUUCUGCUGAGGACCUGGUGCUCGUGGGCAAGAGCUGGAUCUGAGAGACGAGGACGAGUUGCUGAAACCGGGAGGGAGCUGCUCUGGGGGCCGGCGGAGGCGGCUGUCCCCUGUCCCCCCGCCAGCCCUCGCUUGGGGUGGGCUCCCCUCGUCCCGCGUGUCCCGCUGCGGGGCUGCCUCUGCGCGGCUGUCCCCCCCCGUCCAGUGUAACCUCCGGGUCCGUUCGCAUUAAACCACUGUGAAGCCGAGUCUCUGCCUCGUCCUGUGGGCUCGGGGAGGGAGGGCUGGGGAGGGCCGGGCCGGGGGUAUGGACACAACUGGGGUCAGACUCCUCUCGGCAGAAGGCGCAGCGGCUUGGGAUGGCCGGGAUGCAGCGAGCGGGGCCGGGUUCUUCCCCAGGAGCCACUACCGGGCCCGUCACCUCCACACCCGUCACCGCGCCGCUGUGCCCCUCGCUGCCCCCUGGGGUGAUCCCCGGGGAGCUGUGGCCCCCCUCUCUCCUCGCCCGGCUACAGCCCCGCAGGACCGCCUGCUGUGGGGGCCAGGAGCCCCCCAGGGCUGGCUGGGGCCGGGAGCCGCAGCAGCGAGGCUCACCCCGCACCCAGGUACAAAGCCGGGUGCCAAGCCCAAGCUGCAGCGUGCCGGUGGGGCUCCAUCCGCCAUACCCAGACCUGUCCGCCCAGGACAAGGAGACGGAAAGAUCGACUACUCAGGAGCUGCCGUGCAACAGGAGCCCAGAGCUGAAGGAAAAUGCUGAGAGCACAGACCAGGCUGCUGUGCAGCAUGGGCUGGCUGGGCAGGAUGGAGGCCUGGUCCCGCACGAGCGCAGCCCUUCGGGACAGGGCAGCUGCAGGCAGGCUGCGCUCAGCCUUUCCUGGCUCGAGGCCGAAAGUGCUCAAGGCCAGCUGAAAAACGAGUGUCCUGGGAGCACGCCCCAGUGGGAGGUGUUUGCGCUUCUGCAUCGAGUUUUGUCAGGGUUUUGUGUUUGGCUUGGGGUGAGUGUUAGGAAAUGGGCAGCUUCCUGGGGCAGCUGCGUGCAGGGGAGUGCCGCUCUUGCUGCAGAGCCCUAACUGACCUUAACCUCCCGGGGAUGCUGUGUGGGUGUGCUGCCUUCCCCAGGGACUGCAGCUCCGCGAUGAGCUGCCCUGAGCCCUGCAGGGGAAGGGGAAGCUGCCUCCUCUCUGCCGGGACAGCCCUGCCAUGCUGCAGGGCAGCUCUCUGCCUCCCUGUGCUGCCUGGCCCCAAUGUGGGAGCCUGAUUCGUCCCUGCAGAGGGCAGAACUUGCUCGAGGGAGCCUGAGAGAGGCCUCCGAGUCCCUCCUGCAGCUCACAGGCUGCUGCCGGCCUGCUGCUCCUCAUCUGGACAGCGCUGUGCCCUGGCUGGGAAGGGCUGCUGGCUGUGGCAGUUACAUUGCUGGUGGAAACACCACUCCAUUUGCAGGCAAGGCUCUGGGCUGUGGGGAGGCAGCCCCUGCUGCCUGGGUGCGCAUCGAGGCUUGGGCCAGAGGGGAGGAGGUGGUUUUGCCUUGGGACUGCCAAUUUCUGAGCUGGCACCCGAGCCGUCCUGGCCUUUCCUUGGUGUUUACACAAGCCCUUGUGCACUUGCUGCAUGGCUUUCCGUCCUCCCCGGUGCUCAGGGGACUACAGGCUUCUGGUCAGUUAGUUUUUUAAGGAAGUUUUGAAAGAUUUACAACCCUCAGUAGCUGUUACCAUUGUCGCUGUUAUACCUCCUGACGUUUUGGAUGCAUCCCAGUAUGGGGUCAGGAGAGCCCUGUGCUGGGGCUGGCCUGUGGGUCACUGCACCCCACUGACACCCUGCCCUCGCCAGUCGGCAGGUGAUCGGCUGUCCCAGAAGCUGGAGUGUUUACAGAAGCAGCUGGAGCUACUGAAGGGCAAGCUUGGAACAUGGAGCUGCCUUGCUCUGGGGCCAGGAGAGCUGCAGCACAGCUGGCUCCCUCUGUGCUUGCGCCAGGAGCCCAGGGCCUGCAUCUCUGUGGGGAGGGGGCUGGCUUCUUGUCCGGGGGGUAGAGCAGGACCCCAGUCGCUGCCCCAAAGGGUCUGAGGGCAGGUCAGGACAAAGCUCGUGGCCUUCCCCGUGGGGCAGGUGCUGAGUGCUGGGAGCAGCAGGGCUGUGAAGCUGCUCUUGUUCCCCAGGAAUCCGUCCAGCAGAUGCAGCAGUGGACGAGAACGGUGUCGUGGGGAGAGGCUGACAGCGUGCGGACAGACACAGCAGCGACUUGCCCAGGCACCUCAGCUGCUGGGCCAGUGAUACUUGUGGGGCACUUGAACAAAUGGAUAUUUUAUUUCCUUGUAUGUGAAAUAAACUUUUUUUUUUUUCUUAGCGCUGCUUCCUGUCCGCUGGCAGGGGGUCAGCGCCCUGUGCUGCCCGUUCUUCUCCAAGGGGCUGGGCAGAAAGGGCAGCUCCGUGCCAGGCUGCAGCUGCUUCUGCCAGAGCAACCCCGUGGGUCUGCUGCACGCAGGGAGGAGGUGGGUGCUGCUGCUCUGGCCCUGGGGAAUCCUUUCUGGAGAACCUGAAGCUUCUAAGCAGGAUGUUUGGACGUGCUGGUGACAGCCGUGGCGGUGGCAGGCGGCUGCAUGGGGAGGUUUCUGCCUUAACCUUCGUGCUGGGAGCAGGAAGAGCCAGCGCUUGCUGCUGGCACGUUUGGCUCCUACAGCUCUUUGCUGCUUCUUACCAGUUUAACCAGUGGCUUGCUUGCAGGGCAUGGAAGCAACAUGUGGGGGCUCCGUUCUUCCCCGUUCCUGCCUGCCAGUGCUGGAAGCGCUGCUUGCAAGCCCUGCCAUGCUGCUUUCUGUCUGUGGUAGGUUGAUGUGGGUGCCUCGUCCAACUGCCUCGCGUCAGGGUGAGGCCCUGGUUAAGUCCUGCUUUAUGCUGGCAGUGCCCCAGGGCUGGGCUGGGCAGGCUGGCGUGCUCCUGCUCCCCUCUUAUCUCAGGCUGGCCUUUUUGGCCACCCUUGGGUGCCACAGGCAGCCUGUGCCCCUUCUGGGGUGGCUGCGAGUUCCUGGGGCAGC
rnacentral:lncRNA from 1 species